ACCGAAACCUCUUUCAAUCUCCUCUCUUAACCCUUUUCUUUUAAUCUCCGAAAAUUUCCUUCCUCAACCUUAAUCUUCCCUUCUCUUCCAAUUCAUCUCUUAAUUUUCUUCUCUUCUCUAUCAAUUCUGUUUGUAACUUCUAACUAAUGCCUAGGGGAAAGUAGGUACAGGUCGGGCGCUAAAACCAGCGCUGAUGGCCGAUUAAGCUCAGGUGGGAGAUCAAAUGGUGGUGUUGGCUCCUCUUUUCACGCGUCCAACCGGUCGUCUGAUGCGACGGCAUCCGUUUUGCAGCCAUCAAGACCAACUCUUCCAUCACAAUAUCCUUCAACCACACAGCCGCAAUUCUCUAAUCCACAGCCUCAACUCUCUAAUCCACAGCCGCAAUUCUCUAAUUCCCAGCCACAACCCAGCAACAAACGCUGCCGGUUCUGAUACCCCAGUAAACAGCCGCUGGUUCUGAUUCCCCAGUAACAACCGCCGCGGGUUUAUGUUCCCCAACAACAACCGCCACCGGUUCAGAUGCAAGAGCAGCAACCUCCUCAUCCUAAUGAUCCGUUGCUGCCACAACCGGACUACCAACGAAUGUUAGAUGAUUUUUUGGCUCUCCCUGGCCGAGAACAUCUACCCAUCUUGAGUCCACAGCCUCUUCCCGACGUUCAGAACACAUGUCUUGGUUUGUUUUUGUCGCAGCCAUGGCGUUUGCAUUAGUGUUUUUGUCUCAAAGAGGAGACAACAACACGGUCAUCCCUGCACAAUAAUACAGUGGGCUUGAGGAACAGAUCUGUUCAGGAACAUUCUCUAGAUCCGGAGGAAGAAACAGGGUGUCCUGUCACGCUUGGAAAAGUGUUUAGGAAAACACAUAGAAGGGCAGAUGGAACUUUCGUUGAUCAAAAGGCAACAAGGGUAGCUGAGACUUCUGAGAGGAACUUAGAAGAGAUAGUAACUCAAAUGGAUGAAGAUGGUCGAGAAACUUCGGAGAAUUCAUCUGAACAAUCAAAUCAUCAGACCCUACAAGAAAAGAAUGAGGUAUUUCUUAAGGUAAUUUCGGUUUUGUCUACCUCUUCUUAGCAUAUUAAUGUCUUUGUUUUGCACAGCAAGAAUACUUGAUGUUGAUUGUUUUAGUUUUGAUCUUACAUUCUCUUGUUUUGGUCUGUUUUUUAAAGUUUAGCUUUCGUUGUUUUUUUGUUCUUGUUCGUUUGCUCUCAUCUGAUUUUUGCUGAGGUCUUCUGUUGGUCUGAUUUUUCAACUGAAGUCUCUCUGUUUCAGUAUUUGGAAAUUAACGAUUUUCAUUUUGCAUUGGAUCUUUUCUUUUUUUGAGUUUUGAACUUGAUUCUGGCCAAUUCAGAUUUAUGCAGUCCCUCUUUUGUUUGGAAAUGUUUCGUUUUUAAGAUGUUUAAUUAGUAGUUUGGUUUUCACUCUUCUUACUAUCUUAGUUCGAUAUGUUUGCUUUCUGGUCAUUUUUCAGUUUCUCUUUUUUUUUUAUGCGUUUGUUUGGAUGAAACAAAUGUAAGUUAUAAUACGAGUUGAUUGAUUCUAGUGAAUUUGUUUUUGUUGUUGACUUAGUCUGCUGAAACAGAUGACAAUAGACACCCUUACGGACUUGGCGAACUUGGAGAGAUAUUCACCAAGGGGAAAAAAAGAAAAGAGAGUUAUGCAAGCUCGUCCUCAUAUCCCUAUAUUUUACAUCAUUUAGAGUGCAUUUUAGAGUCCUCAUCAUGUGUUUUCCCAUGUAAAUUGAGUCUUUAGGCAUGAAAAUAGGAUUUAGGGCUUGCAUUAGGUCCCAAAGAGUUUUGCAUGUUUUGAGGUCUUUAUCAGGUGCUUUGGGAGUCAUUUGGAGCUUAAGAAGAGGAGCAGAGAAGAAGACGGUGAAGAAAACGGUCAAAAAUGGUGAAAACCGCUUGGAGGAAUUUCUCGGCCAAAUCGCGUACCGGACGGACAGAAACCUCGGUCAAAAUCCUUACCGAUCGCUCAUUACCGGCCAAAAUCCUUACCGAUCGUCCAACCUCGACCAAAAAGCUUACCGAUCGUUCAGCACCGACCAAAGUCCGUACCGAUCGACCAAAGUCAGCCUGGGUCGAAGAUCAGGCGUUAAUACCGCGGGUCGAGUUUUGGCCGAGGCGAAAGAAUUUUUACGACCAAAAAGCUCACCGCGGUACACAGCCCUCGGUCAUUUUUCUUACCGCGGGAAGCUUUUCUCGACCAAAAUCUGUCCUUGUCUGCGCAAUUCAAAGAUCAGAAAUCCGGGGAACCUUCCGGUCCGAAUCAGUUGGCGGGGUCUUCAGCAAAGUUGGAGAUAAUAAAACAAAGAUCCCAGAACAGUUAGAAUCAUCCAAUUCGGACCAGUAGGGAGAA